ensembl:snRNA U1 U1 spliceosomal RNA
GUACUUACCUGGGAGCGGGGGAUAUAUGAUCACAAAGGUGGUUUUUCUAGGGCAAGGCUUUUCCACUGAUUCCAGAUUUGCUGACCCUUGCAUUUUCCCCAAAUGUGGGAAACUCUACUGUAUAGUUUGUGGUGGGGGGGCACUGUGCGUUCCCCUA